UACGUAGGGAGCAAGCGUUGUCCGGAAUCAUUGGGCGUAAAGCGCGCGUAGGUGGCCUCAUAAGUCCGCUGUGAAAGUCAAAGGCUCAACCUUUUGAAAGCCGGUGGAUACUGUGAGGCUAGAGUACGGAAGAGGCGAGUGGAAUUCCUGGUGUAGCGGUGGAAUGCGCAGAUAUCAGGAGGAACACCAAUAGCGAAGGCAGCUCGCUGGGACGUUACUGACACUGAGGCGCGAAAG
rnacentral:rRNA from 1 species